rnacentral:rRNA from 1 species
UGAGUACGAGAUGCUACGGCAUCGAAGCAGUCUAUGUCAUACUUCCAAGAAAAGCUUGCACUGUCAGAAACAGAUAAUGCCUGUACCAUAACCGACACAGGUGGGUAGGUAGAGUAUACUAAGGGGCGCGAGAUAACUCUCUCUAAGGAACUCGGCAAAAUGACUCCGUAACUUCGGGAGAAGGAGUGCCUUAUUUUUAAGGUUGCAAUAACAAGAUCCAAGCAACUGUUUACCAAAAACACAGGUCUCCGCUAAGUCGUAAGACGAUGUAUGGGGGCUGACGCCUGCCCAGUGCCAGAAGGUUAAAGAAGUCGGUUAGCAUUCGCGAAGCUGGUAACUGAAGCCCUGGUGAACGGCGGCCGUAACGAUAACGGUCCUAAGGUAGCGAAAUUCCUUGUCGGGUAAGUUCCGACCCGCACGAAAGGCGUAAUGAUUUGGAUACUGUCUCGGAGAGGGGCUCGGUGAAAUAGACUUGUCUGUGAAGAUGCGGACUACCUGCACCUGGACAGAAAGACCCUAUGAAGCUUUACUGUAACUUGAAAUUGAAAUUGGACUUUAUUUGCGCAGUAUAGGUGGGAGGCGUUGAAAAUAUUCUUGCGGGAAUAUUGGAGCCAUCAGUGAGAUACCACUCUUGUAAUGUUAGAUUUCUAACUUUAUAUCAUUAUCUGGUUAAAGAACAGUUUCAGGCGGGCAGUUUGACUGGGGCGGUCGCCUCCCAAAUGGUAACGGAGGCGCACAAAGGUUUCCUCUGAACGGGUAGAAAUCGUAUCUAGAGUGUAAAGGCAUAAGGAAGCUUGACUGUGAGACCUACAAGUCGAGCAGGGACGAAAGUCGGUCUUAGUGAUCUGACGGUGCUGAGUGGAAAGGCCGUCACUCAACGGAUAAAAGUUACUCUAGGAUAACAGGCUGAUCUCCCCCAAGAGUUCACAUCGACGGGGAGGUUUGGCACCUCGAUGUCGGCUCAUCGCAUCCUGGGGCGGUAGUACGUCCCAAGGGUUGGGCUGUUCGCCCAUGAAAGCGGUACGCGAGCUGGGUUCAGAACGUCGUGAGACAGUUCGGUCCAUAUCCGGUGUAGGCGUUAGAAUAUUGAGAGGAGCCUUCUUUAGUACGAGAGGACCGAGAAGGACAUACCUCUGGUGUACCAGUUAUCGUGCCAACGGUAAACGCUGGGUAGCUAUGUAUGGAGUGGAUAACCGCUGAAAGCAUCUAAGUGGGAAGCCCACCUCAAGAUAAG